AUGUAGAUGUUGACAGUUGAAUUAUUCGAUGGUUGCAAAUCGACAGCUAGAUAGUCAGUGGGUGCUACCGCAACGUACGUACCUCGAGCUUUCUCGCUCCCAUGACUCCCAUCAUCAUGUACUACCUCCAUCCAAGUGUAUAACGCAUGCGCGUAGUUCUAUGUCGUCAAUUUAACUAUUUAAAUAUAUAUUAUAUGUAACAAAUAAUAUAUCAUUAAAUUCAUGCGAGGAUGUAGUUUCUGAAU
rnacentral:lncRNA from 1 species